rnacentral:rRNA from 1 species
CACGGGGGGAGCAAGCGUUGUUCGGAAUCACUGGGCGUAAAGGGCGUGUAGGCGGUCAGGUAAGUGGGACGUGAAAUGCCUCGGCUCACCCGAGGAGCGGCGUCCCAUACUGCUUGGCUUGAGUACGGGAGAGGAUGUGGGAAUUUCUGGUGUAGCGGUGAAAUGCGUAGAUAUCAGGAGGAACACCGGUGGCGAAGGCGCACAUCUGGCCCGAUACUGACGCUGAGGCGCGAAAGCUAGGGGAGCAAACGGG